rnacentral:tRNA from 1 species
GAGGAGUGGUCGAGUGGCUUAAGGCGGCGGUCUUGAAAACCGUUGAGGGGUAAUUCCUUCCGUGGGUUCGAAUCCUACCUCCUCC